AAGUCGUAACAAGGUUUCCGUAGGUGAACCUGCGNAAGGAUCAUUUGUGAGGGGUUAAUCCCUAAACAUAUCCAGUACAUUGUGAAUUGUGAUUGGCUUCGGCCACUACAAACUAUGUGUAAUGAAAGUAUUCUAUUGUAAUUAAUAAAACUUUCAACAACGGAUCUCUUGGCUCUCGCAUCGAUGAAGAACGCAGCGAAAUGCGAUAAGUAAUGUGAAUUGCAGAAUUCAGUGAAUCAUCGAAUCUUUGAACGCAACUUGCACCUUUUGGUNUUCCGAAAGGUNUGCCUGUUUGAGNGUCUGAAAUUAACCGUGUGUUUUGCCCGGAUUUGGGUAAUGCAAUUAGGUNGCUUGCCUUAAAUAGAUUAGUCGGAAUUUUCCCAAGUAACAAAGCGUAAUAAGUUUCGCUACGUGAAACGGAUUGAAGCUGGCUUCUAAUCGCCGUUUGGCAAUUUUUAGAUUUUGACCUCAAAUCANGUAGGGGCUACCCGCUGAACUUAA
rnacentral:rRNA from 1 species